GUUCGGUCCCUAUCCGGCGUGGGCGUAGGAUAUUUGAGAGGAGCUGCCCUUAGUACGAGAGGACCGGGGUGGACGGGCCGCUGGUGUAUCUGUUGGUUUGCCAAAGCCAUGGCAGAGUAGCCAAGCCCGGCAGGGAUAAACGCUGAAGGCAUCUAAGCGUGAAGCCCCCCUCAAGAUGAGAUAUCCCAUUCGAAAGAAGUAAGACCCCUUGAAGACGACGAGGUAGAUAGGGCAGAGGUGGAAGUGCAGCAAUGUAUGGAGCUGACUGCUACUAAUCGGUCGAGGGCUUGACCAG
rnacentral:rRNA from 1 species